rnacentral:misc_RNA from 1 species
GUGGGAGCAAGGCUUGCCCGCGAUGCAGGCGCCUCGUUUUCUCAGAGACCGCGUCAUUUUCAUCGCGGGCAAGCCUUGCUCCCAC